rnacentral:rRNA from 1 species
UACGUAGGGUGCGAGCGUUGUCCGGAAUUAUUGGGCGUAAAGGGCUCGUAGGCGGUUUGUCGCGUCGGGAGUGAAAACCUUGGGCUUAACUCAGGGCUUGCUUUCUAUACGGGCAGACUAGAGGUAUGCAGGGGAGAACGGAAUUCCUGGUGUAGCGGUGAAAUGCGCAGAUAUCAGGAGGAACACCGGUGGCGAAGGCGGUUCUCUGGGCAUGAUCUGACGCUGAGGAGCGAAAGCAUGGGGAGCGAACAGG